GCGCGAAUAGCUCAGUUGGUAGAGCAGUAGACUUUUAAUCUAUUGGUCUCGGGUUCGAGUCCCGAUUCGCGUACUA
rnacentral:tRNA from 1 species